AGCUUUGCGCAGUGGCAGUAUCGUAGCCAAUGAGGUUUAUCCGAGGCGCGAUUAUUGCUAAUCAAAGGUGUCUCUCCUUCCUUCUCUACCAGGAAGGACAAAAGUUGCUCACUGGAGAUAAUUUUAGAUUCUAUCAGCCUGGGAAUGGUA
rnacentral:snRNA from 1 species